CGCCAUGGCCCAGAAGAGAGCCCUGCCGCAGAGCAAGGAGACCCUGCUGCAGUCCUACCACAAGCGGCUCAAGGACGACAUCAAGUCAAUGAUGGACAACUUCACCGAGAUCAUCAAGACCGCCAAGAUUGAGGAUGAGACCCAGGUGUCCAGGGCCACCCAAGGCGAGCAGGACAAUUACGAGAUUCACGUGCGAGCCUCCAACAUCGUCAGAGCUGGUGAGUCCCUGAUGAAGCUGGUCUCUGACCUCAAGCAGUUCCUGAUCCUGAACGACUUCCCCUCAGUGAACCAGGCCAUCGACCAGCGCAACCAGCAGCUCCAGGCGCUGCAGGAGGAGUGCGACAGCAAGCUCACCGCCCUGCGGGAUGAGGUCUCCAUCGACCUCUACCAGCUGGAGGAGGCGUACUACUCGUCCAGCUCCAGUCUCCGCGAAGCUAACGAUCUGCCUCUGUGCGAAGCGUAUUGGAGGCUAGACCUCGACACAGACGCUGCCGAUAGCCUCGCGGCCCCCCUGCGGGUCUCCCCAGAGCCCAGCGCUGGCCCCCUGCAGCCCGCCGCCCCUGCCUACUCCCACGCUAGCGGGCCUGGCCCCACAGAGCAUGCCUGA